rnacentral:rRNA from 1 species
UACGGAGGAUGCGAGCGUUAUCCGGAUUUAUUGGGUUUAAAGGGUGCGUAGGCGGGCUUUUAAGUCAGCGGUAAAAAUUCGGGGCUCAACCCCGUCCGGCCGUUGAAACUGGGGGUCUUGAGUGGGCGAGAAGAAGGCGGAAUGCGUGGUGUAGCGGUGAAAUGCAUAGAUAUCACGCAGAACCCCGAUUGCUAAGGCAGCCUUCCGGCGCCCUACUGACGCUGAGGCACGAAAGUGCGGGGAUCGAACAGG